AGGUUUACGUAGUUAGUGGCUGAGCUGGGUUGCAGACUCAGGCACGUCUGAAUCCGGAGCUGGGGUUCUUACCCACUCCAGUGACUGCCUCUCAGAAAAGAACAGGGCAAUGUCCAUUCUCCUUUUAUUUUCUUUAAGCACCUGAUCAUUCUAAAAGCAUGUGUUCCUCCGUGUGUGUGAGUUGUGUACACGUGUGUGUGUGUUCCUUUCUUUUCUCGGACUCCAGGCUCAUGACUGCUUAUUUGCAUGGUGUUUUGGUGUCAAAGGAGUGUUGAAUGUGUUCUCCACACACCCAGCUUUAUUCCACUCUAGGAGUUUAACUUCUUCAGCAUUGUUAUGAGGUCCCCGGUGACCUCAGUUUCUCCUCUCCGCGUCAUCCAGGACUUCACCUGAAGCUUGAGCUACACGUAAGACUUCAUCUACCUUGCACAGGGCAAUGGAGAGAGGAUGGCAUACCAGAAUCACCAGAUGACAGACAUCGGGGUGCUGUCGGACCCGGGAAUCAGAACCUCUGCAGAUAGAUAUUUUGGAAGGCGCUCCCUAGAUUGGCACCUCUGGUUAGAACCCUGCCCAGGGACUGGACAAGUUGGGCCCAUGGCUCAUAUCUGGCCAGUGUUCAUUGCUUUGUUGAAUCACACUUAAUCCUUUGGUUUUGGUAGAUUCCUGCAAGUAGACUGACAGCUGCAUGUUUGCAGGAAAGUUAAAUAUUUUGACAGCGCAGAAGACUGCUGCAUCUGGAGGGUUCUGGGUCCAGCUAUAACCAGACUUGCCUGUCCUAAACAAAUGGAUUGACUGCUUCCGGCAUCCUCACUUUACUUCUGCAUGGUGACCAACAUCCGGAGCUUAAUUACCUGACAGCCAGGAGGUAGGGGGCAAAGGAAACCUUUUAAUUUAUAGUAAGAAGUGAUCAGUUCCUUUUUUGGGUCUUAGUUAGAAUCCAGGUGCACUUGAAACAAUAAAACCUUGUAUAUAGUUUUCUCCUAUAAGAAACUUCUCAGAUAUUUACCAAAAUCCUGGAAAAAUAUAUAUUGGUCAAUAUACCACAAUUCCCACAAGAGGUAAAUAUUUACAAAAUCUACUUUGGGCGGUGAUGCUGCAAGAAUAUUAAAAGGCGUUGACUUUAUCGUCAAGUGAAUUAUUUCUUAAUUUUUUAAAAUUUAAAUCACAGUAUAUUUGACAAGCUACAGCAGUAGGAAAACACCUUUGCUUUAAACAAAACUACCUUUUCUCAGCAAGAACAGUUACUAGAGUGGGAAAUAAGGUUAAUUUCAGUUUUAUUAAUAAUAUCUGAAAUGAAAUAAUGUUACAACUCUCCCCUCUAACCUCGUUGCUAGACAACUUAGAAUAUUUAUUUAUUUCUCCUUCAGAGAAAAUAAGAGUGGAUGUUACCUUUAAGCAACAUACACAUUUAAUUAAUGAACACAAGGAAAA
ensembl:lncRNA LINC03095 long intergenic non-protein coding RNA 3095